UAUGCUUGCGGAUGGGGAUGCGUCUGAUUAGUUAGUCGGCGGGGUAACGGCCCACCGAGACGACGAUCAGUAGGGGUUCUGAGAGGAAAGUCCCCCACAUUGGAACUGAGACACGGUCCAAACUCCUACGGGAGGCAGCAGUGAGGAAUAUUGGUCAAUGGGCGGAAGCCUGAACCAGCCAAGUAGCGUGCAGGAUGACGGCCUAUGGGUUGUAAACUGCUUUUAUGCGGGGAUAGGUACCGCAUGAAUAAGGACCGGCUAAUUCCGUGCCAGCAGCCGCGGUAAUACGGAAGGUCCGGGCGUUAUCCGGAUUUAUUGGGUUUAAAGGGAGCGCAGGCCGCCGGGCAAGCGUGUUGUGAAAUGCAGUCGCUCAACGUCUGCACUGCAGCGCGAACUGCCCAGCUUGAGUGCGCGCAACGUUGGCGGAAUUCGCCGUGUAGCGGUGAAAUGCUUAGAUAUGGCGAAGAACUCCGAUUGCGAAGGCAGCUGACGGGUGCGUAACUGACGCUCAUGCUCGAAAGUGCGGGUAUCGAACAGGAUUAGAUACCCUGGUAGUCCGCACGGUAAACGAUGGAUGCCCGCUAUUCGG
rnacentral:rRNA from 1 species